rnacentral:rRNA from 1 species
AUGCUUGAUGAAUUGAGUGGCUCUACAAUUUUUUCCAAAGUUGAUUUGCGUAGUGGAUACCAUCAAAUUCGUAUGAAAUUGGAAGAUGAAUGGAAAACAACAUUUAAAACUAAAUUUGGAUUAUAUGAGUGGUUAGUCAUGCAUUUUGGGUUAACUAAUGCACCUAGUACUUUCAUGAGAUUAAUGAACGAAGUUUUACGUGCUUUCAUUGGACGAUUUGUGGUAGUCUAUUUUGAUGAUAUACUGAUUUAUAGCAGAUCUUUGGAGGAACAUUUGGGACAUUUACGUGUUGUUUUUAUUGCUCUACGUGAUGCACGUUUGUUUGGUAACCUUGGGAAGUGCACCUUCUGCACCGACCGAGUAUCUUUUCUUGGCUAUGUUGUUAAUCCACAGGGAAUUGAAGUUGAUAAAGCCAAGAUUGAAGCUAUUGAGAGUUGUCCGCAGCCCAAAACGGUCACACAAGUGAGGAGUUUUCUUGGCCUCGCUGGAUUCUAUAGGCGUUUUGUGAGAGAUUUCAGCACCAUUGCUGCACCUCUCAAUGAGCUUACAAAGAAGGAUGUACCUUUUGUUUGGGGUACCGCACAGGAAGAAGCCUUCACGGUAUUGAAAGAUAAAUUGACACAUUCUCCUUUACUCCAACUUCCUAAUUUUAAUAAGACUUUUGAGCUUGAAUGUGAUGCUAGUGGAAUUGGAUUGGGAGGUGUGUUAUUACAAGAUGGCAAACCUGUUGCAUACUUUUCUGAAAAAUUGAGUGGGCCUAGUCUGAAUUAUUCUACUUAUGAUAAAGAAUUAUAUGCUCUUGUUCGGACUUUAGAAACUUGGCAACAUUAUUAA